UCAGUCGACUCCUACGGGGAGGCAGCAGUGGGGAAUAUUGCACAAUGGGGGAAACCCUGAUGCAGCCAUGCCGCGUGUGUGAAGAAGGCCUUCGGGUUGUAAAGCACUUUCAGUAGGGAGGAAGGUAGUGAGUUAACACCUGCAUUAUUUGACGUUACCUACAGAAGAAGCACCGGCUAACUCCGUGCCAGCAGCCGCGGUAAUACGGAGGGUGCGAGCGUUAAUCGGAAUUACUGGGCGUAAAGCGCAUGCAGGCGGCCUGUUAAGUCAGAUGUGAAAGCCCGGGGCUUAACCUCGGAAUUGCAUUUGAAACUGGCAGGCUAGAGUCUUGUAGAGGGGGGUAGGAAUUUCUAGGUGUAGCGGUGAAAUGCGUAGAGAUCUGAAGGAAUACCAGUGGCGAAGGCGGCCCCCUGGACAAAGACUGACGCUCAGAUGCGAAAGCGUGGGGAGCAAACAGGAUUAGAUACCCUGGUAG
rnacentral:rRNA from 1 species